AUAAUUGAAUUUUAAUUAAUUUGUUUCUAUAUUAAAUAUGUUGGUUUUCCAACUACGACGAUAAACGAAUUUCGUAAUAACCAUUACGGACGUGGGGGCAGUACCCACCACCUCCACCAUUUACAACUUAAGGGGGUGAAAUAGGAUCGACGGGUGACUAAAGGUUAUUCUUUCGUUCGGGAUUGUUCCACCGUGACGGGCUAAACUUUAAAUGCUAACGAAAGUUACGCUAUUGCUGCAUAAUUAACUUAGGUUAAUUAUAGAAGCACGGUCUGGGGCACCGGGUAACAGAACGCCCCUAUA
rnacentral:tmRNA from 1 species